GGGCUAUCUGCAGUCGAGCGGACAGAUGGGAGCUUGCUCCCUGAUGUUAGCGGCGGACGGGUGAGUAACACGUGGGUAACCUGCCUGUAAGACUGGGAUAACUCCGGGAAACCGGGGCUAAUACCGGAUGGUUGUUUGAACCGCAUGGUUCAAACAUAAAAGGUGGCUUCGGCUACCACUUACAGAUGGACCCGCGGCGCAUUAGCUAGUUGGUGAGGUAAUGGCUCACCAAGGCAACGAUGCGUAGCCGACCUGAGAGGGUGAUCGGCCACACUGGGACUGAGACACGGCCCAGACUCCUACGGGAGGCAGCAGUAGGGAAUCUUCCGCAAUGGACGAAAGUCUGACGGAGCAACGCCGCGUGAGUGAUGAAGGUUUUCGGAUCGUAAAGCUCUGUUGUUAGGGAAGAACAAGUACCGUUCGAAUAGGGCGGUACCUUGACGGUACCUAACCAGAAAGCCACGGCUAACUACGUGCCAGCAGCCGCGGUAAUACGUAGGUGGCAAGCGUUGUCCGGAAUUAUUGGGCGUAAAGGGCUCGCAGGCGGUUUCUUAAGUCUGAUGUGAAAGCCCCCGGCUCAACCGGGGAGGGUCAUUGGAAACUGGGGAACUUGAGUGCAGAAGAGGAGAGUGGAAUUCCACGUGUAGCGGUGAAAUGCGUAGAGAUGUGGAGGAACACCAGUGGCGAAGGCGACUCUCUGGUCUGUAACUGACGCUGAGGAGCGAAAGCGUGGGGAGCGAACAGGAUUAGAUAC
rnacentral:rRNA from 1 species